GGGGAUGUACAGGAUUCGACGGAAGACUGUGAUUUCCAUAGCAUCAAGCCAGAUGCGAGCUCUGUAAAAACGCACAAAACAAGUGUCAACUCACUUGCAAAACGUGUUGAAUCAUUCGUUGCUUCAGUAAAGGCUGGUUUCCAGUCUCUACAGCAAGGAUUUGCUUACAACAUGGCAGUUGCAUAAUUAGCGACUGCAGGCUCGGAUGGCUCUUUCCUGAUAGAGCCGCCAUAGCUUUUAACCAUUCAGGAUAUAUAGCUUAGGUAACUUGACGAGCCUAAUCUACGAAACUUAAAUCGUCAACGCUGCAUCUUAUUUUGCUGAUUUUUACGAUGCAUGUCGUAUACUAAAUCAGAUACGCUUGUAAUGAUGUUACGGAAUGAAUCUUCUGGACGGGGGUUCGAUUCCCCCCGUCUCCACCA
rnacentral:tmRNA from 1 species